UACAGAGGGUGCGAGCGUUGUCCGGAAUCACUGGGCGUAAAGGGCGCGUAGGCGGCUUGAUAAGGUUGCGGUGAAAGCCCGGGGCUCAACCCCGGGUCGGCCGUGGCAACUGUCGAGCUGGAGCACUGUAGAGGCAGGUGGAAUUCCGGGUGUAGCGGUGGAAUGCGUAGAGAUCCGGAAGAACACCGGUGGCGAAGGCGGCCUGCUGGGCAGUGGCUGACGCUGAGGCGCGACAGCGUGGGGAGCAAACGAGGAUUGAGAAACCCGGUGGUAGAUCCGAUGACCCAAGU
rnacentral:rRNA from 1 species